rfam:Camelus ferus unplaced genomic scaffold scaffold340, whole genome shotgun sequence.
GAGGGUGUAGCUCAAGUGGUAGACCACUUGCCUAGCAAGCAUGGGGUCCUGGGUUCAAUCUCCAGUACCUCCU